GGCAUAUAUAAGUGUGAUAGAUUCCUUGGUCCCAUUACCACAGAACACUCCUUUAUUCUAGCAGCCAUUUCUUAGCAAGAAGUGCUUUCUGUCUACACAGCAAAAAGUCAAGAUGAAAGUUGCUCUCAUCCUGAUCAUGUUAUGCCUCACCUGGCUGGGCAAGUGCCACGGCUCCUGUGUCCGAACCGUAAAUAAAGCAGAAGUUAAAGAUGGAUCAGUCAUUCCUCCAGAUGGAUGCACUUCUCCUUUGGAUGGGACAAAACACGGAAUGGGGACUGAGUGGAAUGGAGCUAACGGCAUGAAAUGCAAAUGCAGCAGAAGCGGAGCAGAAUGCUGUGACAAUAGCAUACCUGGAACCAACGGGAAAUGAUGAUGCUUCGCAGCUGAAUUUUGAAGCUAUAAAGGGACCCAUCACAACUGUGUUUUGAAGCUAUACAAACCUAUUCCAUUCCCUUCAUGUUAGAGAACCAGAAUAAAUCAGUCAAUGUCCU
rnacentral:lncRNA from 1 species